CUAAAUGUGACCUCUGCCAGGGCUGGGCUCUGCUGAGGGUGAGGGUCACGGGGCUCCUGCACCAGGUCGGGGCCCUGAGCAUGCCUGGAGGCUUGGAAACUAAAACACAGCCUGUGGAGCUUUCUGGCUGUCUGAACACAGUACUGCUUCCUUCUACACAUCAAGCUGUGCUGCAUAACUCGCAUCACUCACCUGCAUAGCACUGGAACCAUUAGUAAUUUCACAAUGAUAAAAAUAGUCAUCAUCUCAAAACUCCUUCCAGCAGAAGGCCUCAAGUGCUCAACUACUGCAGGACCUGGAACCACAGUGCCUCAGAAAGGUAAUCAAGGAGAGGGAUAUACUACUACGUCAUCAAUGACUGACUGGCAGAUACUUUUAGGAGACAUUCUAUGCUGUUCCUAUGAAAUCUGAAUCAAGAGGGAUGCAUGUUGCCAUGCUUCUCCACCAUAAGCACGGUGCUGUGAUGCGUUGAAGACUCAAAUUCACAGGAUGUGCUGUUUAAAUCUCUGCAAACGUCUUUGAACACAACCCAAUGCCCCACACUGCCACAGAGGAAGACUUCCAC
ensembl:lncRNA